rnacentral:misc_RNA from 1 species
UAACAAGGUCUCCGUUGGUGAACCAGCGGAGGGAUCAUUACCGAGUUUACAACUCCCAAACCCCUGUGAACAUACCUAUACGUUGCCUCGGCGGAUCAGCCCGCGCCCCGUAAAACGGGACGGCCCGCCCGAGGACCCCUAAACUCUGUUUUUAGUGGAACUUCUGAGUAAAACAAACAAAUAAAUCAAAACUUUCAACAACGGAUCUCUUGGUUCUGGCAUCGAUGAAGAACGCAGCAAAAUGCGAUAAGUAAUGUGAAUUGCAGAAUUCAGUGAAUCAUCGAAUCUUUGAACGCACAUUGCGCCCGCCAGUAUUCUGGCGGGCAUGCCUGUUCGAGCGUCAUUUCAACCCUCAAGCUCAGCUUGGUGUUGGGACUCGCGGUAACCCGCGUUCCCCAAAUCGAUUGGCGGUCACGUCGAGCUUCCAUAGCGUAGUAAUCAUACACCUCGUUACUGGUAAUCGUCGCGGCCACGCCGUAAAACCCCAACUUCUGAAUGUUGACCUCGGAUCAGGUAGGAAUACCCGCUGAACUUAAGCAUAUCAAUAAGCGGAGGAAAAGAAACCAACAGGGAUUGCCCUAGUAACGGCGAGUGAAGCGGCAACAGCUCA